AAAUCUCAUGGACAAUGCACAUAUCCUGAGUUCAAAUCCCAGGACUGGCACACAAUAAAAGAAACAAUAGGUUUGCUAUAGUUUAAGUGUAAAGAAAUAUGUUCGUAAAAGACAUGCAAUUAUAUUUCCUUCCUAGACACUAAGACUCAUGAUAUAUUUCAUUUUUCUUGAAGUAUCUACAGUCUCUAAAUGUUCUCUAAAUCACGUUGUUUUAUGUUCAUCUAUUUCUUGGCAAAAACUAAUAUAACUUUGUAAAUAAUGGAAUAAUUCGUUCUUAAAAUUUAUACACAAAUUUUUGUAAAUAUAUAUGUAUAUUUUUAAUAUUGUCUUUUGCAAUUAAGGUGGCACUUAAUACAUCAUUCAUAAGUACGCUCAUGAAGCUAUACAAAAUUUAUAUUCUGGAUGAUAGAGAAGAAAUCAUAAGACAAUGAACAUUUACCUCAUUUCCAUAUAAUAGUUGGCCAUUUUACCAAGUAAGAAUUGUAUACUCAGAAGAAAUUAAACUAAAAUGACAGAGAUGAGAUUAGAAAGACUACUUCUGUCUGCAUUUGAAUUUUUAUAAAAGCACUUACAAAUGAACACUUAAACAUGGAAAUGUGAAAGAGACAAUAAGUUUGUGCUUGUUUAUAUCCUUGCCUGCAACACCGUGGGAACAUUUGGUUGUGUUAUCCAAAUUUAUAUUCCUAGCAGCUUUUAUGAAAGAUUUUGUGAAGAGCAUUCAACAUAGAAACUUGCAUCAAAACUUUACAGAGGAGAAAAGAGUGUUGAUUACUCCAAGAAAGGAAGGAGAUAAUGAAAUUUCAGGUGACCAUAAUGAAAGCCAUAUUUGAAGGUAACUUGAGUGCAGCUGAUAAAAUCAUCAGGAAUACUCCUGUUGAGUACCUUUAUAAUUUACAUGUCUUCACUAUCAACCAUAGGUAAUCACUGAAAGGGAACUUAGGCCAUUUUUUUUCUACUAAUUGCUUCACCAAAAUUUUUUUAAAAGGGUUUUCAUAAUGCUCAGGGAGUUCUUACUUAAUAUGUGUGGCAAAGGAUGGUCCUUGCUGAUCAAAAACCUGGACUCAGAAAGCUCAUUUUGGAAAGAGACCUAAAGGAUGCCUUUGAAGGAAAUACUGUUAGUGAUAGUUGUUGUUAAACUAAAUCUUAAUACCUGGGUUUAUGGAGACAUUAGUUCACAGAUGACUUCAGUGUGGUGGAAUCAACAGUGCAUAUAUACGUUUGAAGUAAUAAAAUGCAUGUCUUAUAGUUAUUGAUGAAUGAUUUUGAAACUGAUUUUCAGAAUUAUUUUUUUAAGAGUUGAAAGGACAGAAUUUAUUUGAAUUUUUAUCCCGUUUGUUAACUAUGUAGUUGUUCUUAAAAAGACUUAAUUUUUUUUUUUAUUCUUUUGUGU